UGGUGGUAGUUGUUUAUUUUGGGGGCUCUUAUGGGUUUUGUGAAGGGAUGCUGAUGUCGUCACAGUUUAAUAUUUCUCAGAAUCCUAUGCGUGGUAGUACUGCAUCUUCCAGUUAUCAACAAACCACUAUCUCACAUAGCCCUUCCAGCAGAUUUGUGCCGCCACAGACAAGCUCUGGUAACAGAUUUUUGGCACAACAGAGCAGUCCGGUGCCUAGUCCAUAUGCUCCUCAAAGUCCUGCAGGAUAUGUGCCAUAUUCACAUCCUCCAAGUUACACACCGCAUCCUCAGUUGCAG